rnacentral:misc_RNA from 1 species
UUAAGUUCAGCGGGUAUUCCUACCUGAUCCGAGGUCAACCACGAGGUGAUUUAGCGUCGAGGCGUGGCCGCGCCGCGUCCCAGGCUGCGAGGCGAUUGCUACUGCGCAGAGGGAGCCGCGGCGUGGCCGCCACUGGAUUUCGGGGGCGGCGGCGCCGUGGCGGGGCCGGUCCCCAACGCCACGCCCCGCGAGGGGCGUGA